AUAAGAUUGUAGUAUCGCAUGAUAUAGCAAUUAAAGGAGCAAUCCGCUAUAAGAUGGACCGCGUCGCAUUAGCUAGUUGGUGAGGUAAUGGCUCACCAAGGCGACGAUGCGUAGCCGACCUGAGAGGGUGAUCGGCCACAUUGGGACUGAGACACGGCCCAGACUCCUACGGGAGGCAGCAUG
rnacentral:rRNA from 1 species